UCCUGGCUCAGGAUGAACGCUAGCGACAGGCCUAACACAUGCAAGUCGAGGGGCAGCGGGAUUGAAGCUUGCUUAAUUGCCGGCGACCGGCGCACGGGUGCGUAACAGGUGUGCAAUCUGUCCAUAGUCGGGGAAUAGCCCAGCGAAAGUUGGAUUAAUGCUCCAUGUGUCACGAAGCCGCAUGACUUUGUGAUGAAACGUAAGGACUAUGGGUGAGCACGCUUCUGAUUAGAUAGUUGGUGGGGUAACGGCUCACCAAGUCGACGAUCAGUAGGGGUUCUGAGAGGAAGGUCCCCCACAUUGGAACUGAGACACGGUCCAAACUCCUACGGGAGGCAGCAGUGAGGAAUAUUGGUCAAUGGGCGAGAGCCUGAACCAGCCAAGUCGCGUGAAGGAUGAAGGUUCUAUGGAUUGUAAACUUCUUUUGUCCGAGGGUAAAAAAGGUCACGUGUGGCUUCUUGCAAGUAUCGGACGAAUAAGCAUCGGCUAACUCCGUGCCAGCCGCUGC
rnacentral:rRNA from 1 species